rnacentral:lncRNA from 1 species
GAAAAUCAAAGCAACGAAAAAUUAAAAUGACGAAAAAAUAACGGCAAAAAUUAACAGCGGCGGCGACAGAAAUAAACAAUUGAAAUCGGUGUUAAUUUCCCUACCUUUGACGCAUGCACAACAAUGGCAACAUAUGCCAAACAAAUUGAUCGGCAGCCAGCAACCGUUACUAAACCGCUUGAAACAGUCGGAAAAACGAAGUUUUGCAAACGGGAAAAUUACAGUAGAAAAACAAAAUGACGGAAAUUAUGGCAAAAAUCACAACAGUACGUAUUAAAAAAAAUAACAAACUGUUGAAAAAAAAAUUGACGAAAAUAACGGAAAAUUGUUGCACAUUCGAAAAGUUUGCUUUCAAAAAGACCUGGCAAAAACAGUUGUAUUAAAUUUUUUUUAAGUAAAUAAUGAAAAUUGAAAAAAAAAACGUGUUUGGGCGCAAUCGCUUUAAUCUCCAUUGUGUCAUAAACCAUGCAUGACUGGUUACAGAUAGACUUAGACAUAAUUAUUGGAUGCGUUGGAAUGUUUCACUUCAGUAACAAUGGGCUAGGCCCAGCUGUUUUCUCACCCCUGUUCACUUAGGAAUGAUUCGCAGCUUUCAUCAAAGAAAAGGAAGCAUCUAAAAGUUGAGACAGACUGGCUGAGGAGGCUGCUUUGUUAGGACGAAAAUAUCUGACAGCCUCGUCCUGACAUCACACACACAAAGUCGAGGAACCGGAAGCAGGGAGGAGGACCGACAGAUGAACGGAUGACCUGCUUGCUGGGCUACCCAUUACUGACUCUUGAGAAAAGGAGCACCGACUGGCUGGAUGAAGAGGCUGCUUGCAGUCGCUGAGGAUGAGAGGAUGUAACUCCAAUUUGAAACCAUCUCAUCAAGACAAAACCGAGGAACCGGAAGCAGGGAGGAGGACCGACAGAUGAACUGAUGACCCUGCUUGCAGGGCUUCCCAUUACUGAUUCUUGAGACAAGGAGCACUGACGGGCAUAGAGCUGGCUGGAUGAAGCGGCUGCUUCCUGUCGGUGAGGGUGAGAGGAUGUUACCCCAAUUUGAAACCAUCGCAUCAAGACAAACCCUAGGAACCGGAAGCAGGGAGGAGGACCGACAGAUGAACUGAUGGCCAGCAGUAAACUGCAACAGAUGGUUAUUAACUUGACAGUAGAUUUUAAGACUCAAGUCAUAAAGAGUUUUAAAUAAUUUCAGAAAGUGAAAAUUAAUUUAAGAUGUUGGAGAAAUUUCACAAAUUUAAGGCCUCCAUGCAUGCAAACACCGAAAAACAGUUGACUUUCUCUCCAUUCUUAAAUCAAAUGGAAAAAUUAUGGAGAAAUGUUUAACUUUUGGAAAAUGUAAAGAAUCACUGAGAAUAACUUCUGUUCACCUAUGUGUUGGAAGAUGUAAGGAAGGUUAAAGACCCCCCCCCCCCUCCCACACACACACCAACCCCCUCUUUUUUCAAAAAUUAAAAUUGAAAUGGUUAUUUUUUUUCUAUGGAGAUAUUUCUUUUAUUGCAUUGCAACAGGUAACUAUAGCACUCAAAAUACAGUUGCGUUUAUCCGUUUAUGAUAUAUUUGAUUGCACAGUUUUACUGAUAAUUAACUUUAUUUUUCACUUUGUGUUUAUUGGUGGUUUUGCAUGUCUUUUCAUUUUAUUAAUUGUUUAAUUAACACAACAAAAGGAUAAAUGCAAUGUAUACCGAGUGCUGAACUUGCCUCAUAUCAAAAAUUGUAUUCACAUAAUAGCUAAAUCAAUAAAAGACAAAGAGUGCUUACAAUACUUUAAAUCAAUCAUCUAUGAAUGUUGAUUUUUUUUUGGGGGGGGGCUGUUUCCUGAUUCCUACUUAAUUUAUUGAGUCGCAAAAAAAAAAAAUUCAAAGAAACCAGCUUUACCCUGUUAUUGCGUGCUAUGCACCGCAACCCUAUAAUGUUCUUACUUUUUUUAAAGGUAUAUUAUUUUAAGCUAAAGUUCAAAAAUGUCUUAAUUGAAUUGCUUCAAAACAAAUUAAAACGUUUAUUAUUAUUAUUAUAAGAUGUUGCUAUUAGUUUCUACUGACCUAUCUUAUACCUGACUUUGUUAGUCAACUGAGGGCAUUUGACCAAUCAACGGCGGUUGCUCUUUAAAUCUCACCAAUCAAAUCACUUUGACUGCCACAGAUCAGCAUUGGGUGGCCCUGUCAUUCCCAUUAUACACUCAGUCAUGAUUGAAAUGGAGUUGUCGACAGAACAAGUGGAAUCAGGUUGCAUUGGGAGAAUUUAAUUAAUUGUUAAUUUACGUGUAUUGUUAAUUUAUUGUAUUCUAGAAUCCAUUGUCAGUGUUUUUUGUAAGGAAUUGGUAAAAACGUUGGUAUGUCAAUCGGUUGUAAAGAAUAACAAAGAAAUAAACUUAAAGAAAUGAGACC